GAUGAACGCUGGCGGCGUGCCUAAUACAUGCAAGUCGAGCGAACGGACGAGAAGCUUGCUUCUCUGAUGUUAGCGGCGGACGGGUGAGUAACACGUGGAUAACCUACCUAUAAGACUGGGAUAACUUCGGGAAACCGGAGCUAAUACCGGAUAAUAUUUUGGACCGCAUGGUUCAAAAGUGAAAGACGGUCUUGCUGUCACUUAUAGAUGGACCCGCGCUGCAUUAGCUAGUUGGUAAGGUAACGGCUUACCAAGGCAACGAUGCAUAGCCGACCUGAGAGGGUGAUCGGCCACACUGGAACUGAGACACGGUCCAGACUCCUACGGGAGGCAGCAGUAGGGAAUCUUCCGCAAUGGGCGAAAGCCUGACGGAGCAACGCCGCGUGAGUGAUGAAGGUCUUCGGAUCGUAAAACUCUGUUAUUAGGGAAGAACAUAUGUGUAAGUAACUGUGCACAUCUUGACGGUACCUAAUCAGAAAGCCACGGCUAACUACGUG
rnacentral:rRNA from 1 species